rnacentral:rRNA from 1 species
AGUCGAGCGGAUCGAUGGGAGCUUGCUCCCUGAGAUCAGCGGCGGACGGGUGAGUAACACGUGGGUAACCUGCCUGUAAGACUGGGAUAACUCCGGGAAACCGGGGCUAAUACCGGAUAAUUUAGUUCCUCGCAUGAGGAACUGUUGAAAGGUGGCUUUUCCCUACCACUUACAGAUGGACCCGCGGCGCAUUACCUAGUUGGUGAGGUAACGGCUCACCAAGGCAACGAUGCGUAGCCAACCUGAAAGGGUGAUCGGCCACACUGGGACUGAAACACGGCCCAAACUCCUACGGGAGGCAGCAGUAGGGAAUCUUCCGCAAUGGACAAAAGUCUGACGGACCAACGCCGCGUGAGUGAAAAAGGUUUUCGGAUCGUAAAACUCUGUUGUUAGGGAAAAACAAUGCCGUUCGAAUAGGGCGGCCCCUUGACGGUACCUAACCAAAAAGCCACGGCUAACUACUUGCCACCAGCCGCGGUAAUACGUAGGUGGCAAGCGUUGUCCGGAAUUAUUGGGCGUAAAGCGCGCGCAGGUGGUUUCUUAAGUCUGAUGUGAAAGCCCACGGCUCAACCGUGAAGGGUCAUUGGAAACUGGGGAAC